AGUGAACGCUGGCGGUAGGCCUAACACAUGCAAGUCGAACGGCAGCACAGUAAGAGCUUGCUCUUACGGGUGGCGAGUGGCGGACGGGUGAGGAAUACAUCGGAAUCUACUUUUUCGUGGGGGAUAACGUAGGGAAACUUACGCUAAUACCGCAUACGACCUACGGGUGAAAGCAGGGGAUCUUCGGACCUUGCGCGAUUGAAUGAGCCGAUGUCGGAUUAGCUAGUUGGCGGGGUAAAGGCCCACCAAGGCGACGAUCCGUAGCUGGUCUGAGAGGAUGAUCGGCCACACUGGAACUGAGACACGGUCCAGACUCCUACGAGAGGCAGCAGUGGGGAAUAUUGAACAAUGGGCGCAAGCCUGAUCCAGCCAUACCGCGUGGGUGAAGAAGGCCUUCGGGUUGUAAAGCCCUUUUGUUGGGAAAGAAAAGCAGCAGGUUAAUACCCCGCUGUUCUGACGGUACCCAAAGAAUAAGCACCGGCUAACUUCGUG
rnacentral:rRNA from 1 species